CCUACGGGAGGCAGCAGUGAGGAAUAUUGGUCAAUGGACGCAAGUCUGAACCAGCCAUGCCGCGUGCAGGAAGACGGCUCUAUGAGUUGUAAACUGCUUUUGUACGAGGGUAAACGCAGAUACGCGUAUCUGUCUGAAAGUAUCGUACGAAUAAGGAUCGGCUAACUCCGGGCCAGCAGCCGCGGUAAUACGGAGGAUUCAAGCGUUAUCCGGAUUUAUUGGGUUUAAAGGGUGCGUAGGCGGUCGGAUAAGUUAGAGGUGAAAUCCCGGGGCUCAACUUCGGAAUUGCCUCGGAUACUGUUCGGCUAGAGAGUAGGUGCGGUAGGCGGAAUGUAUGGUGUAGCGGUGAAAUGCUUAGAGAUCAUACAGAACACCGAUUGCGAAGGCAGCUUACUAAGCUACUUCUGACGUUGAGGCACGAAAGCGUGGGGAGCAAACAGGAUUAGAUACCCGAGUAGUC
rnacentral:rRNA from 1 species